rnacentral:rRNA from 1 species
UUGAACGCUGGCGGCAUGCCUUACACAUGCAAGUCGAACGGUAACGCGGGGCAACCUGGCGACGAGUGGUGAACGGGUGAGUAAUAUAUCGGAACGUGCCCAGUAGUGGGGGAUAGCCCGGCGAAAGCCGGAUUAAUACCGCAUACGACCUAUGGGUGAAAGCGGGGGAUCGCAAGACCUCGCGCUAUUGGAGCGGCCGAUAUCAGAUUAGGUAGUUGGUGGGGUAAAAGCCUACCAAGCCGACGAUCUGUAGCUGGUCUGAGAGGACGACCAGCCACACUGGGACUGAGACACGGCCCAGACUCCUACGGGAGGCAGCAGUGGGGAAUUUUGGACAAUGGGCGCAAGCCUGAUCCAGCCAUGCCGCGUGCGGGAAGAAGGCCUUCGGGUUGUAAACCGCUUUUGUCAGGGAAGAAACGCGCUGAGCUAAUACCUCGGCGUAAUGACGGUACCUGAAGAAUAAGCACCGGCUAACUACGUGCCAGCAGCCGCGGUAAUACGUAGGGUGCGAAGCGUUAAUCGGAAUUACUGGGCGUAAAGUGUGCGCAGGUGGCUAGCAAGUACAGAUGUGAAAUCCCCGGGCUUAACUUGGGAAUUGCUGCUCGACUGCAUUGGCUGGAGUGUGGCAGAGGAGGGAUGGAAUUCCGCGUGUAGCAGUGAAAUGCGUAGAUAUGUGGAGGAACACCGAUGGCGAAGGCAAUCCUCUGGGCCUACACUGACGCUCAUGCACGAAAGCGUGGGGAGCAAACAGGAUUAGAUACCCUGGUAGUCCACGCCCUAAACGAUGAUCAACUAGUUGUUGGACGGAGUUAGCCUGUUCAGUAACGCAGCUAACGCGCUGAAGUCGUACCGCCUGGGGAGUACGGCGCAAGGAUUGAAACUCAAAGGAAUUGACGGGGGACCCGCACAAGCGGUGGAUGAUGUGGUUUAAUUCGAUGCAACGCGAAAAACCUUACCUACCCUUGACAUGUCUAGGAAUCCUGCAGAGAUGUGGAAGUGCUCGAAAGAGAACCUAGAACACAGGUGCUGCAUGGCUGUCGUCAGCUCGUGUCGUGAGAUGUUGGGUUAAGUCCCGCAACGAGCGCAACCCUAUCAUUUAGUUGCUACAGCAUUAGUGGCACUCUAAUGAGACUGCCGGUGACAAACCGGAGGAAGGUGGGGAUGACGUCAGGUCAUCAUGGCCCUUAUGGGUUAGGGCUACACACGUACUACAAUGGCCGGUACAGAGGGCUGCCAACCGCGAGGGAGCAGCUAAUCUCAGAAACCGGUAGCUCAGUUCAGGAUCGCAGUCUGCAACUCGCCUGCGUGAAGUCGGAAUCGCUAGUAAUUGCAGGAUCAGCUUGCCUGCGGUGAAUUACGUUCCCGGGUCUUGUACACACCGCCCGUCACACCAUGGAGCGGGCUACUGCCCGAAGUCAGUUAGCUCCUAACUUCGCAAGGAGGGCGAUGCCUAAGGCAGGUUCUGUGACUGGGGUG